AUUGAACGCUGGCGGCAGGCUUAACACAUGCAAGUCGAGCGGAAACGAUGGGAGCUUGCUCCCAGGCGUCGAGCGGCGGACGGGUGAGUAACACUUAGGAAUCUACCUAGUAGUGGGGGAUAGCUCGGGGAAACUCGAAUUAAUACCGCAUACGACCUACGGGAGAAAGGGGGCAGUUUACUGCUCUCGCUAUUAGAUGAGCCUAAGUCGGAUUAGCUAGAUGGUGGGGUAAAGGCCUACCAUGGCGACGAUCUGUAGCUGGUCUGAGAGGAUGAUCAGCCACACCGGGACUGAGACACGGCCCGGACUCCUACGGGAGGCAGCAGUGGGGAAUAUUGGACAAUGGGGGCAACCCUGAUCCAGCCAUGCCGCGUGUGUGAAGAAGGCCUUUUGGUUGUAAAGCACUUUAAGCAGUGAAGAAGACCAUAUGGUUAAUACCCAUAUGCGAUGACAUUAGCUGCAGAAUAAGCACCGGCUAACUCUGUGCCAGCAGCCGCGGUAAUACAGAGGGUGCAAGCGUUAAUCGGAAUUACUGGGCGUAAAGCGAGCGUAGGUGGCUUGAUAAGUCAGAUGUGAAAUCCCCGGGCUUAACCUGGGAACUGCAUCUGAUACUGUUAAGCUAGAGUAGGUGAGAGGGAAGUAGAAUUCCAGGUGUAGCGGUGAAAUGCGUAGAGAUCUGGAGGAAUACCGAUGGCGAAGGCAGCUUCCUGGCAUCAUACUGACACUGAGGCUCGAAAGCGUGGGUAGCAAACAGG
rnacentral:rRNA from 1 species